ensembl:lncRNA
GGCCCCUCCACUGGAGAUGGCAAAGCCCAAGUAAGCAGCUCCCAGCAAGGCUUGGCAGAGGCGAGCGGCUGAGAGCAACCAGCUGUGGAUUUAGGGGAGCCUGAAGCUCAUCCCACCGUGACGGGAUGCUGGGGCUCAAAGGCAGCGUGGGUGCAGGGGUGGGGGAGGGCAGGCACUGGGGCAGGCAGUGUCUCAAACUGGGUGCGAGCAGCAAUUUCUCCCUGCUGUUGCAGUGCCCAGUCACUACGAGCGAGACAGGUCCUGGCUACCCUGGAGUCAUACAAGGUGUGCCGGGAGGGCUGGAGAAAGAAGGUGGAGCAAAACUGGCUCCUUCCCAGCAGACUCAAGGAGCGCCUCAGGUGAAAGCUAUUUAUGAACUGACCUUCAAAGCCUUGGGCCAUGUCACUUUGUUGUAACAGGUAUUCUGAAAGACAAAAUCUUUUGUGAGCAGUCAAUUAUGUGCAGUGUACAUUUGAGAGGCUGCAGGAAGGAAAAUUGCUCUUUGCCAUUCUAGUUGCUGUUCUCUGGAUUGGAAGGAUGCUCUGAAAGAGCAGCCCAUGGCAGAGACUGCUCUAAAAAGCCAGAAAAUGGAGGAUCCAGAAGUGCUGCAGAGGGUGAGACUGAUGAGAAAAGGAUGAGGUAAAUGGGCAAGAAGGUUUUUGAGGUGUAAAUGGAAAACCAUGAUCUAGGCACACACAGCUACUGCAUACAUCCUGCCACAGCCCGGGGAUUGAGUGGUUAGCUGUACUGAGAGCAAAUCCAAAAGACAGGACUUUCAGCAAGGACAGAGUAGGUACAAGAUUUUGUUACAUCCAUUCUACCUCCUUCUGAGGUUUCUUUAAGGUGGGAUCCUUCUGAGCCAGUGGUAGGUCAUCCAGUUGCUAGUAGGGACUAAAAAAGCUUGAAAGACAAACUUAUGAAAUAUUUCUGAAUCACUGUUACUUUCUCAUGGCUAAAGGCAUGCAGGCCCGUUUUUGUCACGAGUAGAAGCCAGUGGUUCUUAGAGAGAGGGUCAAGAAAUAUGGGAAUAGUGAGUGAAUUACUACAAAUCACAUUGAGAUGGAGAUUGCAAAACUGAUUUUUUUUAAUGAUCACUGGGGGGAAAAACAGGAGUCAGAAUCAUAGAAUGGCUGGGGUUGGAAGAGACCUCAAAGAUCAUCUAGUUCCAAUGUGUAUCGUGUAAAGAGCAUGAAUGACCUGUGUAUGUACUUUUCUUUGGCUUCAACAGAAGAUCUUUGUGCAUACUGGGAAGGAAAGUGUGAGGAGGUUGAUAGAAGGGAGAGAUAGAAACAGGAGUUCCCAGAAGUGGCAAUCAACAAAAUUGCAAUGAGUUUCAUCCACUACAAUGAGUGGGGAGGUUGUUUGCAGCCCUGAUCAGCAAAACUUGGGCAAAAUUCUGGGCCACAGGCACAGAGUUAUGUUUUGGACACCAUCAGAGUCUGGGCAACUACCAGAGAUACUGAAAUGAAUCAUAGAAUGUAGAAUCAUAGAAUCAGCAAGGCUGGAAAAGACCUACAAGAUCAUCCAGUCCAACCAUCCAUCUAUCACCAACAGCUCUCUCUAAACCAUGUCCCUCAACACGUCUAAACACCUCCCUGAGCAGCCCAUUCCAGUGCCUGACCACUCUUUCAGAAAAGUAGUAUCUCCUAAUGGCCAGCGACCAUUCCCCCUCGUCAUGUCACUAGUUACAAGAGAGAAGAGGCCGACUCUCAGCUCAGUACAGCCUCCCUUCAGGUAGUUACAGAGAGAGAUAAGGUCUCCACUGAGACUCCUCCAGACUGAACAAUCCCAGCUCCCUCAGCCGCUCUUCAUAAGGCCUGUGCUCCAGAGCCCUCACCAGCUUCGUUGCCCUUCUCUGGACAUGCUCCAGGGCCACAAUGUCUUUCUUGCAGUGAGGGGCCCAAAACUGAACACAGUACUCGAGGUGUGGCCUCACCAGUGCUGAGUACAGAGGGACAAUUACUUCCCUGCUCCUGCUGGCAACACUAUUUCUGAUGCAAGCCAGGAUGCCAUUGGCCUUCUUGGCCACCUGGACACACUGCUGGCUCAUGUUCAGCCAAGCAUCGACCAACACCCGUAGGUCUGUUUCUUCCACACAAUCUUCCAGCCACUCUGCCCCAAGCCUGUAGCAUUGCUUGGGGUUGUUGUGGCCAAAGUGCAGGACCUGGCACUUGGUCUUGUUGAACCUCAUCCCAUUGGCUUCAGCCCAGAGAUCCAGCCUGUCCAGAUCUCUCUGUAGUGCCUUGCUACCCCCAGGCAGAUCAACACUUCCUGCCAACUUGGUGUCAUCUGCAAACUUACUGAGGGUGCACUCAGUGCCCUCAUCCAUGUCAUCAAUAAAGAUACUGAAGAGGGCA